GGAAAAGAAAUCAACCGAGAUUCCCCCAGUAGCGGCGAGCGAACGGGGAGCAGCCCAGAGCCUGAAUCAGUGUGUGUGUUAGUGGAAGCGUCUGGAAAGGCGCGCGAUACAGGGUGACAGCCCCGUACACAAAAAUGCACAUGCUGUGAGCUCGAUGAGUAGGGCGGGACACGUGGUAUCCUGUCUGAAUAUGGGGGGACCAUCCUCCAAGGCUAAAUACUCCUGACUGACCGAUAGUGAACCAGUACCGUGAGGGAAAGGCGAAAAGAACCCCGGCGAGGGGAGUGAAAAAGAACCUGAAACCGUGUACGUACAAGCAGUGGGAGCACGCUUAGGCGUGUGACUGCGUACCUUUUGUAUAAUGGGUCAGCGACUUAUAUUCUGUAGCAAGGUUAACCGAAUAGGGGAGCCGAAGGGAAACCGAGUCUUAACUGGGCGUUAAGUUGCAGGGUAUAGACCCGAAACCCGGUGAUCUAGCCAUGGGCAGGUUGAAGGUUGGGUAACACUAACUGGAGGACCGAACCGACUAAUGUUGAAAAAUUAGCGGAUGACUUGUGGCUGGGGGUGAAAGGCCAAUCAAACCGGGAGAUAGCUGGUUCUCCCCGAAAGCU
rnacentral:rRNA from 1 species